GACGAACGCUGGCGGCGUGCCUAAUACAUGCAAGUAGAACGCAGUUGCGAACGGGUGAGUAACGCGUAGGUAACCGCCUCAUAGCGGGGGAUAACUAUUGGAAACGAUAGCUAAUACCGCAUACUGUGAGAUGGACCUGCGUUGUAUUAGCUAGUUGGUGAGGUAAAGGCUCACCAAGGCGCCGAUACAUAGCCGACCUGAGAGGGGUAACAGCCACGAUGGGACUGAGACAAGGCUCAGACUCCUGCGGGAGGCAGCAGUAGGGAAAUAUAGGCAAUGGGCGGAAAGCAUACCGAAGAAAGCCGCGUUGGAGAAAAAGGUUAUCGGAUCGGAAAGCUCUGUUGUUAGGGGAGCGGUAACUAACCAAAAAGGAACGGCUAACUACGUGCCAGCAGCCGCGGUAAUUC
rnacentral:rRNA from 1 species